rnacentral:rRNA from 1 species
CCUACGGGUGGCAGCAGUGAGGAAUAUUGGGCAAUGGAGGCAACUCUGACCCAGCCAUGCCGCGUGAGUGAAGAAGGUUUUCGGAUUGUAAACUUCUUUUCUGGGGGACGAACAAAUGACGGUACCCCAGGAAUAAGCCACGGCUAACUACGUGCCAGCAGCCGCGGUAAUACGUAGGUGGCAAGCGUUAUCCGGAUUUAUUGGGUGUAAAGGGCGUGUAGGCGGGAAUGCAAGUCAGAUGUGAAAACUCAGGGCUCAACCCUGAGCCUGCAUUUGAAACUGUGUUUCUUGAGUGCUGGAGAGGCAAUCGGAAUUCCGGGUGUAGCGGUGAAAUGCGUAGAUAUACGGAGGAACACCAGUGGCGAAGGCGGAUUGCUGGACAGUAACUGACGCUGAGGCGCGAAAGCGUGGGGAGCAAACAGGAUUAGAUACCCCGGUAGUC